rnacentral:rRNA from 1 species
CUACGGAGGGUGCAAGCGUUAUUCGGAAUCACUGGGCGUAAAGGACGCGUAGGCGGGUUGGCAAGUCAGAUGUGAAAUCCUACAGCUUAACUGUAGAACUGCAUUUGAAACUGCUAACCUAGAGUAUGGGAGGGGGAGAUGGAAUUAGUGGUGUAGUGGUAAAAUCCGUAGAUAUCACUAGGAAUACCGAAAGCGAAGGCGAUCUCCUGGAACAUAACUGACGCUAAGGCGUGAAAGCGUGGGGAGCAAACAGGAUUAGAAACCCUAGUAGUCC